rnacentral:rRNA from 1 species
GGUGGCGGGGUGGCUAUACAUGCAGUCGAGCGAGCUUGCCUAGAUGAAUUUGGUGCUUGCACCAAAUGAAACUAGAUACAAGCGAGCGGCGGACGGGUGAGUAACACGUGGGUAACCUGCCCAAGAGACUGGGAUAACACCUGGAAACAGAUGCUAAUACCGGAUAACAACACUAGACGCAUGUCUAGAGUUUAAAAGAUGGUUCUGCUAUCACUCUUGGAUGGACCUGCGGUGCAUUAGCUAGUUGGUAAGGUAACGGCUUACCAAGGCAAUGAUGCAUAGCCGAGUUGAGAGACUGAUCGGCCACAUUGGGACUGAGACACGGCCCAAACUCCUACGGGAGGCAGCAGUAGGGAAUCUUCCACAAUGGACGCAAGUCUGAUGGAGCAACGCCGCGUGAGUGAAGAAGGGUUUCGGCUCGUAAAGCUCUGUUGGUAGUGAAGAAAGAUAGAGGUAGUAACUGGCCUUUAUUUGACGGUAAUUACUUAGAAAGUCACGGCUAACUACGUGCCAGCAGCCGCGGUAAUACGUAGGUGGCAAGCGUUGUCCGGAUUUAUUGGGCGUAAAGCGAGUGCAGGCGGUUCAAUAAGUCUGAUGUGAAAGCCUUCGGCUCAACCGGAGAAUUGCAUCAGAAACUGUUGAACUUGAGUGCAGAAGAGGAGAGUGGAACUCCAUGUGUAGCGGUGGAAUGCGUAGAUAUAUGGAAGAACACCAGUGGCGAAGGCGGCUCUCUGGUCUGCAACUGACGCUGAGGCUCGAAAGCAUGGGUAGCGAACAGGAUUAGAUACCCUGGUAGUCCAUGCCGUAAACGAUGAGUGCUAAGUGUUGGGAGGUUUCCGCCUCUCAGUGCUGCAGCUAACGCAUUAAGCACUCCGCCUGGGGAGUACGACCGCAAGGUUGAAACUCAAAGGAAUUGACGGGGGCCCGCACAAGCGGUGGAGCAUGUGGUUUAAUUCGAAGCAACGCGAAGAACCUUACCAGGUCUUGACAUCCAGUGCAAA